rnacentral:tRNA from 1 species
CCUUCGAUAGCUCAGUUGGUAGAGCGGUGGACUGUAGUUGUUGGGUAGAAAUCCAUAGGUCGCUGGUUCGAAUCCGGCUCGAAGGA